rnacentral:lncRNA from 1 species
GCAUCUUCCUUAUCUCGACCAAUAGACACAGCAGUGAGUGUCGUACUAUAUAUGCCAGAGUAAAGUCCUGUUCUCCAACCCCAACGGCAACCAUAUUGAAAAAUCCUAGCAAUAUUGCUGAGAAGUGAUCCCUUUCGGCUUGUGCACACGAUGUAUAUACGGUCAGUUGGUUACUAGCGAUGUUUGAAGCAACCCGUAUCCGAGUGCCAUACCGAUCACCCACCAUCAUUCCAACCAAAGAACCGCAGAACACCACUACAGGAAUAUGUGCAAUCUCUGUCCGGAUUUCCCCAUAUUCGUUUUUAGAAAAUGCCCGCUUAACUCGACCCCAAAAUGUGUUAUGCUUUCCAUUGUCAAUCACCGGGUCUGACAUCUACCAGAUAAAAAUCAAGUGGGAAUUUACUAAUAGUUUAUUACACCCAAACAGCAAAAAUGUUAGUAUUUUAUCAGAACUAUAGAUCAGUGACUUUUCUGUGUUGGUGUUAGAUCAGUGGUUACCUGGAGUGUCCAAGCAUGCGGUCACAACUUCUAACACCCAUAAAAUUAUAAAAUGUCGCCGUUUUUUUAAUUAAUACGCGAUGUUACGCUUGCAGGAUUGUCAAAAAAGUACCCGAAAAGUGGCGGCGUGACUCGUGAGAAAUGCUAAUUGCUUUAAAUUAACCGACGAUGGAAAUCUAGGGCCGGCGAGAAAUGCCCCUUAGAUAAUCCGGCACUGAGUGUACGGGGCCUUUUAUUAAAAUGCUUAGUUUAUAUCCAUAGAAUUUUAUCGAUGAU